GCCGGGCGUGGUGGCGCACGCCUGUAAUCCCAGCUACUCAGGAGGCUGAGGCAGGAGAAUCGCUUGAACCUGGGAGGUGUAGGGUGCAGUGAGCCGAGAUCGCACCACUGCACUCCGGCCUGGGCGACAGAGCAAGACUCUGCCUCAA
rfam:Homo sapiens chromosome 11, GRCh38 reference primary assembly.